AUGAUAUUGCAGCUCUUUUCAUUUAUGUGUUGUUUCAGUGCAUUAUUAUCUUCCAUGAUUUGUUUUUCACUGAUACAUUUUGUUGCAUAUAUGGAGGCCAUCUACUAUUCAGCUGAUAUUUGUUAUUAUAUCAUCUUGUUUGCGAACUUAAAGAGGUCCCUCAAAGAGAAGCGUUUUUCAUAUGCUCCUGAAUCUGGUGUGCGGUAUGAUGGAGUUUACAGUUUGAGAAUUGUUGGAGGAAGACUGGUAUUCAGCGCCGUUGGCCGCUCUACCUACCGAGUGCCACCCCGCCGCCUCCUCCCACCCCCCACCUGGGACCUCACCGCCCGCUCCCCGCCCGGUACACCCACAACGCUUGAGUCUGAGCAGACGCCAUUGGCCCGUGGGCACAGAAGCAGAGUCCAGGAUGGUGAUGGUGCCAAGGAGGACUCUCGAACGUCGAUUGAUUGCAUCGUUGCUGCCGUACCCAUGGAGUGGCGCGGCUUCAACCACUCUGAGAUGGUAUUCCUCUCUCUUUCUUUCCUGACAGAACUAAGAAUCUUGUGUCAUCCUCUUUUCUAA
rnacentral:rRNA from 1 species